rnacentral:misc_RNA from 1 species
AAAGUCGUAACAAGGUUUCCGUAGGUGAACCUGCGGAAGGAUCAUUACUGAGGUGCCCCGGCGCAAGCUGGGGAGAACCCGACCUAUUGUCAUUUGCACGUUGGGGAGGAACGGUUGGCGUGUUGGCGUGUGGCUUGUGACGGAUUGUACCCGAGAGGGUGGAUCCGGAGCGGCCCGCGCUGCGGCUGCCGCCCUGACGAACCUGAACUUCGGCGGAAGAGGUAGGCUGGACCUGCCCGCCGCCGGCCGUAACUUAUUUUACUCUGCAACGAGAAUCUGAAGCCUGAUACACAAGAACAAAAUGAAAAGCAAAACUUUCAACAACGGAUCUCUUGGCUCUG